CAGAGGUUAGCUUAAUUGGUAAAGCAUACGGUUCGGGACCGUAAGACUGCUGGUUCAAGUCCAGUACCUCUGA
rnacentral:tRNA from 2 species